GACGUAGGGGGCGAGCGUUGUCCGGAUUUAUUGGGCGUAAAGCGCGCGCAGGCGGUUCGGCUAGUCGGGUGUGAAAAUCCGGGGCUCAACCCCGGACCUGCAUCCGAUACUUCCGGACUGGAGGCAGGUAGGGGAGAGCGGAAUUCCCGGUGUAGCGGUGAAAUGCGCAGAUAUCGGGAAGAACACCGGUGGCGAAGGCGGCUCUCUGGACCUGUCCUGACGCUCAGGCGCGAAAGCUAGGGGAGCGAACAGG
rnacentral:rRNA from 1 species